UUAUGCAUGAAAUGAACCAGCCAGUGAUGGCCAAACGGGCGUGUCGUAACUAACUGACAUGUUUCAGUCAGGUGUGCCGAAACCUCCAUGGCAGAGGCUCUGUCGAACCCAGGAUAGGAACCACUGCUCUAGGCACAACCGUUUGUGACUUGAAUUAAAAACGGCAGGUUUUGCUAAAUUAAAUGUCACCACUAGGUGUCAGAAACUCUGGAUCAAAAAACGCCUUUGAGUGACACGUGCGACCUCGGCGUACACCGACGUGAAUACAAGCGAGGCAGUGUGCUGUGCAGGCGAGGCAGCCUGUGGCGACCAUAACACUAUGAGACCAGCUUUCUGGGAUCAUUAAUUUGAUUUAAUGAAUUAUCUUGAUGACGUUGACAACAAAGACGAUGGCAAAACGCGUGGAAUGCACCUCACAGAAUGAAGACACAACAACGACAACGUCAAACUUCAUGCGUCAUCACCAAACCAACAAUCAGGAAAAAGUGCAACACGAACCGUUGCAGUAAUUUGAACAAUUUUUCAUGUUGCUGUGGUGCCGUUCCAAUCAAACUAACGAGCAAGCAUCGCUCGCCACGGCGUCCGCUAACCAGAAGGUGAGUGGGCAGAGUGGGAGGAAGAUGAGGAGGAGGAAGAGGAGGAGAAGGCCAGCGCUAAAAGCUUGAACAAAAGCUAAAGAUAGCGCAGCGCUCGCGGGCACUCAGCUCGCCUCUUGUCAAGGUUGGACAAACUCAACACGAGCGCACCCUGACAGUCUCCACUCAGCUUGGUCCAAUUCUCGACUUAUCUAUCAAAAAACCCCAAACCUAAACUUUCCAGCAAACGAUUGCAUCCAGCUGAAAGUUUGAACAUGGAAAAUCCUGAUGUGGCUUGUUCAAGUGUGCUCAAGUAUCCAAAUGGAUUUCUUGGACUGACAAGUUUCAGCACACCUCAUACUCUGUGACUCACUGUCAGUUUCAGACUUCCCUGAGUCACUGCUCCGAGGCGGCUGCGCGCACGUUUCUCGGUUCGGCGCGGUGGGUGUGUUUGGAAGUCUGCGCGAACCAACUUGAGGAUGUGGCCCUGAAUGAAUAGCUGUUAGCCCCAAAAUACUGUCAAUUCAGGACUAUAGGAAACUCAACUGCAAUGCUUUAACAUGUUCAACUCUUAAAAUACACAAAAUUGAAUGCC